CUAGAAGCCGAUGAAGGACGUUACUAACGACGAUAUGCUUUGGGGAGCUGUAAGUAAGCUUUGAUCCAGAGAUUUCCGAAUGGGGAAACCCAGCAUGAGUUAUGUCAUGUUAUCGAUAUGUGAAUACAUAGCAUAUCAGAAGGCACACCCGGAGAACUGAAACAUCUUAGUACCCGGAGGAAGAGAAAGAAAAUUCGAUUCCCUUAGUAGCGGCGAGCGA
rnacentral:rRNA from 1 species